UUAACUAUUAUAUAGUACUCAGACAACACUAAUAUUCAGAGUUUGGGUUUCCUCCGGCAGGCGACUCCCAGGCCCGAAGGCGCUGGGGCUAUCCCCCGAGGGGGGCAGCAGCCUGCCAAAGCAACAUGGUAUAAAUACACAAGGGUGGGAGGUCUACCCGUGAGGGCAUGAACUCUGUAAUGAUCCUUCCGCAGGUUCACCUACGGAAA
rnacentral:misc_RNA from 1 species